rnacentral:rRNA from 1 species
CACUGCCGAGAAAAGCCUCUAGAUAGAAAAUAGGUGCCCGUACCGCAAACCGACACAGGUAGUCAAGAUGAGAAUUCUAAGGUGAGCGAGCGAACUCUCGUUAAGGAACUCGGCAAAAUGACCCCGUAACUUCGGGAGAAGGGGUGCUCUUUAGGGUUAACGCCCAGAAGAGCCGCAGUGAAUAGGCCCAAGCGACUGUUUAUCAAAAACACAGGUCUCUGCUAAACCGUAAGGUGAUGUAUAGGGGCUGACGCCUGCCCGGUGCUGGAAGGUUAAGAGGAGUGGUUAGCUUCUGCGAAGCUACGAAUCGAAGCCCCAGUAAACGGCGGCCGUAACUAUAACGGUCCUAAGGUAGCGAAAUUCCUUGUCGGGUAAGUUCCGACCCGCACGAAAGGCGUAACGAUUUGGGCACUGUCUCAACGAGAGACUCGGUGAAAUCAUAGUACCUGUGAAGAUGCAGGUUACCCGCGACAGGACGGAAAGACCCCGUGGAGCUUUACUGUAGCCUGAUAUUGAAAUUCGGCACAGCUUGUACAGGAUAGGUAGGAGCCUUUGAAACGUGAGCGCUAGCUUACGUGGAGGCGCUGGUGGGAUACUACCCUAGCUGUGUUGGCUUUCUAACCCGCACCACUUAUCGUGGUG